UGCUGCUUGCCUCAGGAUCACACAGA
rnacentral:piRNA from 1 species